UGCUUUUAUUCCCUUCCUGUGCCAGUCAUUGAGAUUUGACUGUUGGCUAAACAGGCUCAUAACAUUUUUAUUAUAGAUACCUUAAUUUCUUGACAAUUAAUUGAAGGUAACAUGCUGGCAGAGCAGAUGACUACUUACACAAACUAGAGAUAACCAUUAAUUCAAGUAAAAUUAAAUCCUUUUUUUUCCAUUUUGCACAAACUUUAUUAUUUGACUAGGAUAAUUUUGUACAAAUGAAACAAGAAGCUAGAGCGUUGCAAAUAAUGUUGCUUUACCAAGAAAUAAUAUAUAAUUUUAAAACACCAAAAUUGAGAGUGGUUUGUACAGUAUACACUUUGGCAAAAUACCAAAUCCUUUAUCUUUUCUUUUCACAUGGCCUGCUACUAACAGUCCUUUCCAGUAAUUCUCAAUAUUUAGGCAACAUUAGCUUCAUGUGGGAACUUAUCUAAAACCCC
rnacentral:lncRNA from 1 species